CCGGAAACAAAAAAUGUAGAGGAAACGGAACGUUUCUUAAAUAGAUCUCAAUACAUGACAUUGUGGACACUCAACAUUACAGUAAAUGACUUUCAAUAUGGCAAAAUACCGUUUCAUUUUCAAAUAGAGGUUUUCCAAUUUUUGAUUCCUGAAAUCUUUCAAUACCUUAAAUAACCACAAAAGAAAUGGACAAAAUAACUUAAUUCAUUUAAAUACCGUCUUGUGCAGAUAUUCAGAUAAAGUCUGAUGGAAGUACCACUCCCAAACAUGAUCAAAGACACACACCGUAUAAAUGAUUUUUUUGAUUCAGUGUUUAUAGAAAAUGUCCUUUCCACAUUCAGGGAAUGCCUUCUUUGCAUUAGGGUCACUGGUUUAAAAAUAAAUCCACUGAGAUAACCAUAUCAUUCACCUUGAGGCUAUCGCCUCUAACCAUACUAUCAAUCUCAAAACAGUGCCGCAAGCUACCAAGGACGACACAGAACUUACUCCUGAGGCCUUUUGUCAGCGGCAAAUUGAGUUGCAAGGAUUUUUGCACUUUUUGAACAGCAUUUAACAGGAAAAUAAGUUAUGAAUAUUAUAAAAUGAUUACUCAAUAUAGAAUUCGCUCAAAAAACAAGUACAGGGAUUUACUUUCACUAUGGAAAGAUGUGAAAAUUCCCCUAAAACUCCCUCUAAACACCCUAUAAAUAGCCUUUGGGGAGGGAUUUCCCAACUAGGUAUUCUUUUUUUCAUUGUCGUUGCAGUGAAGUAAAACCCAUAUGCAUUCCGACAUAAAACGAAAACAAUCGUUCUAAAGCAGAGUUUCAGUCCAAGCGGUGAUAAACAUCUGGCCCCUUCAACGACACUUGACCGAACGGCCUGCGGUGCUUUUUGUCCCUUUGUCCGCCCCGUAGAAACGGGAAGUACAAGAGAAAGCUACUGAAAAAUAAAAACAAAUUGAUGCUAAAACAUCCAAACAUAUUUGUCCCAAAAUGGACAGUCAGAACCCAAAGUCAACGAAUAACGAUUCACGCUGCGUAUUUUUUAACACAGUUUCAGAAGACUACCAAUGUGUAAGUAGCUGGCAUACUUGUAAACUCAUUAUAGGCGCUUGUUUUUAGCUCACGUUAACUUACGUUAGUUUGCGACAUAGCAUGUAGUUGUUAGCUCACUAAUAGUUCGGUCAUUUUGUAUUAGAGCUGAUUCAUUGACCGACUCUCCGACACGCUUUAAAGGCACAACUGAGCUGCUGACUACCGACGCUGCAGCGCGACCGUUAGCUCGACCGGCUCACUAGCUAGCGCGAGCUAACGUUCCUCUGUCGGCUCUGCUAAGCUACUGAAGCUAAGCUAGCUGAGCAUUAUUACUCAAGCGAGCAGCGGUGUUUUACAUGCGUGACACGCUGUGGAAGCUAUGCAUGGAGACAAGGAGAGUUUCCUAUCUUUAAAUUAGACCAUGAGCCUGUUUUUCUCUUCAGUUAGCCGGAGAGAAGGACAGCAGCACAACAAAGAUAAGACUACAACAUCCGUGGUGAAAUACAACUGAAUACACGUAUUCGUGUCCUUCACUGAAUUGCUUGUACUUCACUUAAGUAUACACACUUUGCUGUGUGCAAUUUUAUUCGUUUAUUUCAAUACAUGUCCGAGGGUAAUGCACGUUUUACUUCACUAAAAGGCAGUAGAGUAACACUAUUAUUUAAAGAAACGUACCCACUGCUUUGUAUAUCAACACUAUGAAUUAAAUCCAUUAUAGUAGAUCAAUCUCCCCAGCAGUAUGUAAAGACGUCACUCUUCCCCUACCUAUUUUAACAUUUAAGUAAUUUGGGAAUAUUCUGCUAUUUCUACAUUUACUAAAGUUAAUGAUCUUGAUAAUGAUCUGAAUACACACUAUAUAUAUAUAUGAAUAUAUCUCCAAGCGCUAGUACAGCACUGAUGACGUCCAGUUUUAAUGCACAUAUUGUCAGUUGCGUUGGACAAAAACAUCAGUCAAAUGAAUAUUACGUAGUGAUUUAUAAUUUUGUUGUAUUUAAUAGCAACAUUGCAAAUUGUCCAAGACGACAACACUAAACAUAGGCUAUAAAAUAUCCAGGGCUUGAAUAAACAACUCUCUGGCAGAGCAUCAGAACAAAAAUAACUCAUCAUGACCUUCAUAACUUGCGGAUGCAAAGGUCUCUUGAAAUCCCGCCAGGUCGUAGCAUUGAGUACACACCCAGAGGAUGACAAUUAACCCGUCUUCACAAAACACAGCAGGCUACCGUAGUUCCAUAGAUGGUCUCUGUCUGUGGUGCGUUGGUGUUAACGUGCGAAGGUAAAAUGUUCUUGUGUCAGCAGCUUUAGGCUGCAGGUCAUCCUGCACUCGCUCGGCCUGAAUAAGAAUGCUGCACCAAUGCUGUCUUCCCUUGAGCCCACAUUUCUCUUCCAACUACGAGCAGUCGCUGACGAUACAAGCACUGGAUCCCAGUGCCCUGCCCACGGUCUUAUUAACCCAAAUAAAGACGGCCCACAGCAACCAAGCAGUUAUACCGGUUUGAGUUUGGUAACACCCAAAGUGGUCGUUUUCAUCAUUUAUUCACCAUAACUCUUCCAUUUUAUCCACUAUUCAUGUGUUCUUGCCAUCGGUUCUGUUUGUUGCAUCAUCCUCGUUUUUUCACAAUUUUCACAAUUUCAGUUGUUUCAGUUCCUCAUUCGUGCUGCUAUAGUACACCAUUUACUCAAUGUAAUCACAGUUAGUCAAACUAAAGUUGUCUGGGAUAUUUUGAUAAUCUAUCCAUCGUUGAAGUAAGUUUUUUGACAAAAAGCAAACGUUUCCUUGUUCAAGUUUUGGUGUUUGUCUUUGAUCUAAUAAAUCUCAGGUAUAUUUGUGUAAAACAUUACACAGAUGUUUGUGUGACUUGCAUUUCAUAAAGAGGGAAAUCCGUACAGCAGAAAGGCAUAUAUAAAGGCAUAAUAAAGGUUUCCAAAAAGCCAGAUCACGUCUGCCCUAUUAAUAAGACAAAAUGUAGGAAAAUACAGUCUUUUAACACUCUGGCAGUUGCGUAAUGGGAGCCAUCAUUGAAAUGUAAUUAAAUCAGUAAUAAAAUGUUACAAGACUGUUGACCAUGUUUCUUUAUCUGUCCAAAAAUCUUACGUUACUUCAAAAACACCCUGAGUCCAUACGGUGGUGAUUUUAAGGGUAAAACGAGCCACAGGAACCUUCUCCUUAGUAGGAUGCGUUUUCAUGCUCUUUGUGAUUUGGCUGCUUCGCAGGUAUCACUCUCUGGCUCAGAAGAUGAUUCUCAGCCUGACUGUAGCUGCCUUCUUCAACAGUGUAGCAUACGUCAUGGGUGACUCACAUCCAGUGGGAGCUCUGUGUGACUUCCAGGCCUGCUGGUUAACUUACUUUGACUGGAGUGCCUUGGCCUGGGUUUGUCUCAUCACUCUGAACCUCUACCUCAACCUGGUGAGAGAAAUCAGCACCAACCGAUACGAGAUGUUGUACCAUCUGAUGGCGUGGGGGCUUCCUCUGGUCAUGGCCUCCCUGCCCCUGCUAAAGGGCUACUACGGCCCCGCUGGAGCCUGGUGCUGGAUCACAGACGAUCACGUAGCCUGGAGAUUUGGGAUAUGGUACGUGCCUCUGUUCAGCCUCAUCUUCUUGAUGAUCUGCUGCUACGCGCGGAUAAUCUGCGUGGCCACCGCAAGGAUGCAGUCAUGGUUGGGAACCUUCAACCCAGAGAGAGAGAGACGAAAGGUAAUGGCCUGUCCGAGAGUCACAUUUCUCCACGCACGCACACACCGAGCGUGAGGAUUAGAGUGUGUGCAGGAUUAGCUUUGGUGUUCCCGCUGGGUAGGUGUCAAACGGCGGGGAGCAAUUUGACCUUGUGACACUUGUGUGUGUGCGUUUCAUGGGCUUGUGUGUGUCCGUCUGUGCGCGCCAGCCCGUCCAUGCAUAUUUAAAUUUUGGAGCAGCGGCGCCUCUGCUCCUGACCUUACUGAAAGGAAAAGAAGGACAGGGGAGGCUGCCUGGGAAAAAUAUUAAGAUCUAGAGCAGUCCGAUUGUGAAAACAGGACAUGGGCUGCCGGGGAAAAGAGGAGAACGCCUCAACCUCCGGUUCUGCCGAGGGAACCCCGCGCGGCGUGUUACUGUCAUUCCCUCUACGGCCCAGCAGGGGGCGACUCCUCUGGUGGCAGAAAGAAGUCCUAUGUACGAUGUCUCUAUGAUGAAAGUCCUGCUUUGAACAGGACCGUGUUGACAUGCUGUAAAUUGCAAAUACGUCGACCGGGAAUCGUUGUGGUUGUGCAGUGAAGAAGGAAGAAGACCACCAGUGAAAACAACCCGAACCAAACUGCUAUUCCGAAGAGGAGUCAUAAUUAACUGUAACAUAUUAACAGACUUCUGUAUUGCCUUUGCACAAGUCCAGUAAGGAAGAAAGAAAGUCAGGUAAUCCAUUUAUUAUCAGACGACUAACGUUCGAUAUCCUGUAAACUAGGGGUGCCCAACCAACACGCCGCGGACCAGUACCGGUCUGUGGGCCAUAUUGACCAAUCCGCGAUUUAUUGUCUCAUAUGAAAACGGUCCGACGGGCAAAAAAGGUUGGAGACCCCUGCUGUCCCCAACCUGUCAAUCUAAUAACUGGCCUUCUUUGACGUGCAGUUGGGUUUUCAGUGGACUGUUUGUAAUGUCAGUCUGGUGCGGAUGCCAAGUUACAAAAAUUCUGAGAUGCCCGUCCAUGAGCGACAUUUCACGCUGUUACAGAGAAACGUUUGUAUGUAAUUCAUUGUCGUGUGAAGCAUUUUACAUUUAAAAGAAAACAUUCUUUCUGAAAUGUGUUCAAAAAAAAAUUGUCCCCUACAUGUAUGGAAGAGCCGUACUAAUCUGCUGGACAGCAAUGGAUUGAUAUGCAAUCAUUAAUUUCCAUUACUGGUAUCGGGAAGUGGCAUCUAACACCUGCCCACACAGAACUACUGCCCAAUGGUUUAAGCCUUGAAAUCCUGCACAAAGGUGCUCAGGGUCACACUCCUAUUCACCACGCGUCCAGCAGCAGCAGCAGUACCUGUUCUGUUGUUACCCCCCCCCCCUCCAGGGUGCGCUGGGGGGGGGGGGCAGUUUAGGGUUAAGGUUAUGUAGAUGCUGCCCCUAAGUGGCAGAUGUAAUUACUGCACAUUGAACUGGCGUAACCCUCACCGCCCAGACAACACACGCACACACACACACACACACACACACACUGUUCAUGUGGGCUAAUUGCUACGUGUAAAUAAGUCAGCAGGGUUUUUUUUUUAUCACACACUCGUUUCCUCGUAUUUCUCUUCCCCAAUCGCUCUCCUCGUUUCCAUCUGUUUUCCUCUGCCUCUCGCUUCGGUCCUCCUCUCUCUCUCUCUCUUCCCCCCCUACUCUUUUUUGUUCUCUCCUUCCCUCCCUCCGUCUCUCUCCCUCUCUUGUACCCAGCAUGAAUAAAGCAGCAAGCCAGGUUCAUGGACAUGAAUAUUUAUGAGUUUAUGCACGCGCUGCGAUGCUUUAAAACAACAACAACAGCCUCCCCGAUUGUGCUUGCCAAGCCAGCGAGCUCUCUGGCUUGUGUGUGUGUGUGUGUGUGUGUGUGUGUGUGUGUGUGUGUGUGUGUGUGUGUGUGUGUGUGUGUGUGUGUGUGUGUGUGUGUGUGUGUGUGUGGCAGCAGGUGUAAACUAGAGAAAGCGAUUCCUGCUGGGUGUCUGAAGACCGCCGGCUCUGGUUAUUUCCAUUCACUUCGCCACAUCUCCCUCCUGCUGUGCCUCACAUGUUCUCUGUCGCCAUCUCUCUCACACUGUGCCACACGCACACACACACACACACACACGCAUACAAGAGCAUGCAUGCUUCUUUUGUUUUGCAUUCACGCAUGUAGUUUCCUGCGUUCACCAUUCUUGAUCUUUUCUCUCGCUCUGACUCAGCCUGGCACCAUCCCCCUUCUUCGCUGUGUGUGUCUGUGUGUGUGUGUGUGUGUGUGUCUGUGUGUGUGUGGGGCUGGAGAGAUGACGUACGUAACUGGUGUUGGCAGUUAUCAGGGCCGUCAGUCACAUGGUUUCGACACAUCUCUCUGUGUCUCGAGCAAUUUGUUUGUGGUCACGCAUGAAUACGCACACACACACACACACACACACACACAGCGCACAAGGUCUUGGAGCAGCAUAGGUAAGUAGGGGGGGGGGGGGGGGGGGGGUAUUUAGAAGAGGGUGUUUAAAUCAGGCCUUCCGAACACACACACACACACACAAAAACAGGCGGACUUCUGAACACGUUUGCCCACACAGCAGCUCGGUCCCGUCGGGUAGCAACAAAGCUGGCUGAGCAAACAGCGAGCUGCUUGUUCGUUAUCUUCCCCGGGUGUUUGUUUACUGAUCCACACAAGCUUCCAGUCACAAUGGGACGUGUCAGCUCGCGUGUCCUGGUGCACGUACGUGACGCUCAACCUUGUUCCUCGCCGAGCGGAAGGCCCUACCGCUCCGUGUAGCCGUCCUUAAUUCCUGUGCCAAAUUUUUUUUUUUUUCCCACACCUCAACGACGCCGUGAAGGCGCCGCGGUGCUGCAAGGACAGUUGGCUUUGUGUCUCCCAGGCGCCGCACGCCGCUCUGCCAGAACGCGCGUACCUCCGUUUGGAGGGAUCGGCGCCCCAGCUGUCAGAUAGCGAGACGCUCUGAGCAGCUCAGUAAUCCUCGCCGGUGUCUUUAACGGGAUGUGUUUGGCUUUUAUCUGUCCUUUUUAUUUGCUACAUCAAUCUCGCCAAAAUUGCCAUUUUGUAGCUUGUCUGGAGCUUUACGUUGUAGAGCCUCGUCUUCGUGAGGUCGCUAAUAAAAAUGAUACGUUUAUAUUUCUAUUUAAACUUUUCCAAAAAGACUCAAUGGUUCAAAAGUAUUUAUCCAAAAAUGACAUUCUAAUUUACUUAUAAAUGCACGCUCUAAAUCGUGAGUAAAACCUAAUUGUGUUAAUCUUGCAGCAGAAGAUUUUAAUUUCUCAUGGAAACGUUUCAUUAUGAAAUUCUAAAUACGUUUGUACCCUGAUUUUAAGUGUACAAAAAUAGCUUGUUUUUUAAGGUCCCUGAAUGUGAUGUUCCCGUUCGCUGGAGCGCCGCUGUUCUCUUUGGAGGAGGUUAUCUCUUUCUUCCUCUCCCGGUGAAGGGGCCCGGUCGCUCCCGACAACGCCCCAGUAAUCUAGCGUGCGUCAUUAAUGUCCGGUCCGCUGCCCCCGGCGCACACAAUUACGCUUUCAAUCCGCGGGGGACGGCGGGGGGGGGGGGGAUGUGAUUAAAAACACCCGGCUCUUUAGCCGCGCUCUCCCUCUUCCUCCUCCUCCUCCUCCUCCUCCUGGUCCACAUCCUGCCUCUUGCGCAUUGAAAUUCCUCAAAUGCCUGCCUCUAUCUACGCCGUACUUCUACCCCCCCACCGCCCCCCCAUCCCAGUGCGUAGACUCCUGGCUCGCCUUUUCCCUACGUCCCAAUGACACAACCUCCACCGCGCGCGCGCACACGCACGCACGCACACACACACACACACAAUAGGCAGAGCUUCCUAUAUGCUUAAUGUUAACCCUUCUGCUCUACCCAACGAGACCCUGCUCGCGUGCACGCGGCGCAGUGGAAGCUCGGCUUUUUUAUUCAAUAUUUUUGAUUUGCACUGACGCACGCGCGCACGUACAUAAAAUGAAAUACCACGGGUGGGUGGGUCCUCGUGAUUUCCAUUAGAAUGGUUAAGAAUACCUUCUCUAGAGCUCGCACGCCUCGGGGUAUUUUCUGGUGAGUAAUUAAUUUUCCAGCAUGUGGGGGGGGGGUGGAGACCGGAGCUCGCGGGCCCAUGCCUUCUGGCUCCGACUGCGCGCGCGGGCGUGUGCGACUGCUACCGCGUCCUAGUUUCAAAUUGGAGGAGGAGGGGGAGGGAGGGUGCGUGUGCGUGUGCGCUCGCGUGUGUGGAGGAAACAGCGCAGCGCAGCGCAGAAAAUCGAUCCAGGGGCCGCGCUUCUCAGCCUCCUUCCGGGCGCACGAGUCCUCUGCGGGGAAUU
ensembl:lncRNA